rnacentral:rRNA from 1 species
AGUGGCGGACGGGUGAGUAACACGUAAGAAUUCGCCUUUAGGAGGGGGACAACAACUGGGAACGGUUGCUAAUACCCCAUAUGCUUUCGAGUGAAAUGGAUUUUUCCGCCUAAAGAGAAGCUUGCGGCUGAUUAGCUUGUUGGUGAGGUAAUGGCUCACCAAGGCGACGAUCAGUAUCUGGUUUGAGAGGAUGAUCAGACACACUGGAACUGAGACACGGUCCAGACUCCUACGGGAGGCAGCAGUGGGGAAUUUUCCGCAAUGGGCGAAAGCCUGACGGAGCAAUCUCGCGUGAGGGAUGACGGCCUAUGGGUUGUAAACCUCUUUUUUCAGGGAGGAACAAAAUGACGUGUACCUGAAGAAUAAGCAUCGGCUAACUCCGUGCCAGCAGCCGCGGUAAGACGGAGGAUGCAAGUGUUAUCCGGAAUCACUGGGCGUAAAGCGUCUGUAGGUGGUUUAAUAAGUCAACUGUUAAAUCUUGAAGCUCAACUUCAAAAUCGCAGUCGAAACUAUUAGACUAGAGUAUAGUAGGGGUAAAGGGAAUUUCCAGUGGAGCGGUGAAAUGCGUAGAUAUUGGAAAGAACACCGAUGGCGAAGGCACUUUACUGGGCUAUUACUGACACUCAGAGACGAAAGCUAGGGUAGCAAAUGGGAUUAGAUACCCCAGUAGUCCUAGCCGUAAACAAUGGAUACUAGAUGU